AAUCGAUCCAUACAUUUCAGAAAAUAAUGAAUUGGUUUCAUGCUAAAAUGUAAAGUAAAACGUUUGGAUCUACCUUUACUAGAGGACCCAUAGUCGGUGCCUUUGUCCUCAGAAACUUCCGGUUGCCCAUUCAUAUUUUAUUCCACCCCACUCCAAAGGCAGUUCACUUACCCUCUCUUUUUUCUCCAAAAGAGAGUUUCUCCUCCGAACCUACUAGGCACUCUUCGUCCAAAUGUGGAAACUCCUAGGGGUCACCAUGCAGAUGAGGAUGUUGCUGUGUAGUCUAGCCCUUGUGUUGGAUUUUGGCUCACUAUUGAGCCCCUUUUGAAGAACAAUGUUAUCUUGUAAUUUCUUACUAUGUGAGCAAACUCCUAGAUUUAAAUUAUUCUGUUUAAAUUAUGUUCAUGGCAUCGUGUUGUGUCUUUGAAAUUUUUUUCCCCUUUCCGUAUAUUUGGGAUAACUAUCAUAACUGUAAUGACCAACCAUUUAUACUUUAUGUCU